rnacentral:rRNA from 1 species
GGACUAUUGGACAAUGGGCGCAAGCCUGAUCCAGCCAUGCCGCGUGUGUGAAGAAGGCCUUCGGGUUGUAAAGCACUUUUGUUGGGGUAGAAAAGCCAUGGGUUAAUACCCGGACGUCAUGACGGUACCGGAAGAAUAAGCACCGGCUAACUUCGUGCCAGCAGCCGCGGUAAUACGAAGGGUGCAAGCGUUACUCGGAAUUACUGGGCGUAAAGCGUGCGUAGGUGGUUCGUUAAGUCGGAUGUGAAAGCCCUGGGCUCAACCUGGGAAUUGCAUUGGAUACUGGCGGGCUAGAGUGCGGUAGAGGAUGGCGGAAUUCCCGGUGUAGCAGUGAAAUGCGUAGAGAUCGGGAGGAACAUCCGUGGCGAAGGCGGCCAUCUGGACCAGCACUGACACUGAGGCACGAAAGCGUGGGGAGC